rnacentral:lncRNA from 1 species
UUGUUGUUCCGUGGCAUUGAAAGGUUCAGUCCCAGGUUAAAUGGUUUAAAUCCUUCAAAUGGUUUGUAAUUUCUGCACCGCCAGUACACAGAAGCGUUUUAUAACGAUCUUUACUGAUAAACCGAUAUGUGGGCAUUGUUUAUUCCGUCUUGAAAAGCACUCGCUCCGUCUUUCCAACAAGACGCGUAGGUUCGGCGCUCCGAUUUGCAUUAAAGGUAUUUCGCAUCUGGCUGCUUCUGGCUGGCGGAUUCGCCGAAUAGUUCAACACAAGACAGCACGAGUGAAAGAAAUGCAUGGUGUCAGACAUCUGGCAUCAAGAAAGAGAACAGCCGGUAAAUGUCCCAGUGUAG